rnacentral:lncRNA from 1 species
AUGCCGCACUCCUGCCCGAGGCACCGGCACCGUCGUCGGGGACGCAAGCAUUCCGGGAGCUGCUGUGUCCUCAGUGCAGGAUCGGAGUGGGUCCCGCCCCUGUCUCCACAGCCCUUGUCCCUGUCCACGCAGGAGGCUGGGCACCCCCUUCACCCGCUGUCGUCAGAGACGCCGGCUCGGCCCCGCCAGCCCUCCCAACCCCCAACCCCGCGCGGGGAGCUCAGGUCCAGGAACACACACCGCUGUCCCCCCAGCCUAGGCCGGGGGCCCCGGCCGCAGGGCAGUAGCCAGCCGCCACUUUACCGCCGCGCAGAGCCGCGCUGUGCCGGGCGCCACUACCAGCAAGGCCGUCUCCUCCCAGAAUGCCCCGCGGGACGCAGGGCCGACCCCGGAAGCUCCCUGGCCCUGAGUGUCUCCCAUUCCUUGGGUGUGCACCGUGAGGGGCACUCGGGUCCGCCGGGUCCCGCUCAGCCCUCCUCUCUUCCUUUCUCUGGAAGCUCACCUUGCGCCUGGUCUGCCCUCUCGAGCUGGUCUCCUUCCCCUCCCCGGUGAGAGGAGGUGAUGAGUAAGGGCUUCUACUGUGCAAUCAGAACUUGCAGAUUUUAAGGAAAGGACAACCAAUAAUUUAACUGGAAUCUUAAAAAAAAACAAAAACAAAAACAAAAAAAAACCAGACAGAUCCCUCCCAUCUAAUCAAUGCUCUGCACCUUUAAUUAUUAUCGUCCCAUCCCCUCCCCACGCUGAUCCGAGUUCCACCGUGUUAAAUGCCAGAGGAAGUGCUAGCAACCGGCCCGUGCCUGGCUUCUCUCAGCAGUGUCCUCUAGUUUGUCCAUGUUGUCACAAGUCACCAUUUUUCUUCCUUUUAAAAAAUGUUUAAUUUUCAUUUUUACUUAUUUGAGAGGCACAGAGACAGAGAUCUUCCACUGCUGGGUCACCCCACCAAAUAUGUGCAACAGCAAGAGGAGGCCAGUUCAAAGCCAGGAGACAAGGUCUCCAGCAGGGUUUCUCAUGUGAGUGCAGGGACCCAAGCACUUGGGCCAUCAUCUGCUGCCUCCCAGGCUCAUUAGCAGGGAGCUGGCAAGAAGCAGAGGAGGAGGUGGAACUCAAGAUUUCCUUCCUUUAAGGUUGAAUAAUAAUAAUUAAUGUGUUAUUUAGUCACCUGUCCGUGGGACCUUGAGAUGAUUCUGUAUCUUGGCUGUUAAAAACAGCAUUGCGGGGCCGGCACUGUGGUGUAGCGGGCAGAGCUGCUGCCUGCAGUGCUGGCAUCCCAUAUGGGCACCAGUUCAAAUCCUGGCUGCUACACUUCCGAUCCAACUCUCUGCUAUGGCCUGGGAAAGCAGUGGAAGAUGGCCCAAGUGCUUGGGCCCCUGCACCCAAGUGGGAGACCCGGAGGAGGCUCCUGGCUUCAGAUCAGCACAGCUCCAGCCAUUGCAGUCACCUGGAGAUUGGACCAGCAGAUGGAGGACCUCUCUUUCUCCGCCUCUGCUCUCUGUAACUCUGCCUUUCAUAUAAAUAAAUAAAUCUUUAAAGAGAGAGAGAACA